rnacentral:rRNA from 1 species
AAGACCUUGCACUUUUGGAGCGGCCGAUGUCUGAUUAGCUAGUUGGUGGGGUAAUGGCCUACCAAAGCUUCGAUCAGUAGCUGGUCUGAGAGGACGGCCAGCCACACUGGGACUGAGACACGGCCCAGACUCCUACGGGAGGCAGCAGUGGGGAAUUUUGGACAAUGGGCGCAAGCCUGAUCCAGCCAUGCCGCGUGAGUGAAGAAGGCCUUCGGGUUGUAAAGCUCUUUCAGCCGGGAAGAAAAGGCUGCGACUAAUAAUCGCAGUUCAUGACGGUACCGGAAGAAGAAGCACCGGCUAACUACGUGCCAGCAGCCGCGGUAGUACGUAGGGUGCGAGCGUUAAUCGGAAUUACUGGGCGUAAAGGGUGCGCAGGCGGUUUUGUAAGUCAGAUGUGAAAUCCCCGGGCUUAACCUGGGAACU